rnacentral:rRNA from 1 species
AUUGAACGCUGACGGCAUGCUUUACACAUGCAAGUCGAACGGUAACAGGCCUUCGGGUGCUGACGAGUGGCGAACGGGUGAGUAAUGCAUCGGAACGUGCCCAGAGGUGGGGGAUAACGCAGCGAAAGCUGUGCUAAUACCGCAUGUGAUCUGAGGAUGAAAGCGGGGGACCAGGCAGCAAUGUUUGGCCUCGCGCCUUUGGAGCGGCCGAUGUCAGAUUAGGUAGUUGGUGGGGUAAAGGCCUACCAAGCCGACGAUCUGUAGCUGGUCUGAGAGGACGACCAGCCACACUGGGACUGAGACACGGCCCAGACUCCUACGGGAGGCAGCAGUGGGGAAUUUUGGACAAUGGGCGCAAGCCUGAUCCAGCAAUGCCGCGUGCGGGAAGAAGGCCUUCGGGUUGUAAACCGCUUUUGUACGGAACGAAAAGGCUCUGGCUAAUACCUGGGGCUGAUGACGGUACCGUAAGAAUAAGCACCGGCUAACUACGUG